AGGAGAGCUCUGCAGCAUCACUGCUGUGCAUUACGAGAGGUUAUCGUGCCUUGCUUUGCUCUUAGAGCCUUGCAGAGAAGUCAGGGACACUCUCACAUGCCAUCUUUCCCGGGGGGAGGGCAGCCAGGAAAACACUGUAGCUGGUAUUUAGAGCAAGCAAGCCCAGGAAUCAGGACAGCGGCCUGAUUUUGCCUGUGUCACCUCCAGUGAGCCCGGGACGAGCCACUGGAGGAGGAACGCUGGGGAAAACGAAGUUGUAGCGCCGCAGUUCCAGCAGAGAGCAGCAUCUGCAUGUGGAAAAUGCUGCUCUCUCCAGCCAGCGCGUCCUGCUCCCUCUCUUACCGAGCCCGGGAAUGUCACCCUGUCCCCUCCUCCGUGGUUCACAGGUGCGUGGAUUACAAGCGACCUCUUUGGGGAGAUUUUUACAUCACCUUUCUCAUCCCUGUCCUGUUGCCAACGUGCGUGACAGAAGUCAGUAAGGCCUUUGAGAUAACUGGAUCUUCUUGCUGUGUCGAGAUGCAUGCAGGUCUGACACAGGAGCACCAAUGCAGAUUCCUCCAAGCAGUGAGUGCUGUAGCAGACACCUGUAGUUCCUUCACACUGAGUAGAACAUCCAUCUUUGUGGUGUCCAUCAGAUAGCAGAGCCUGGGUUCAAUAUGGAAAAAGCACAUAUACCAGGGAAAGUAUUAAUAACCUUCCUGUCUAGCCAUCAAGAAAACCACUUCCCAGAUAGUGUUCCCAUAAAUACUUGUUGGAAUAAUUCUGAAGAUCUGGUAUUUUUCAGCUGAUAAAAUUAUUAAUAGUCUAAGAAAGAGCAGGUAAUAAUUUUGACAAACUCGGGAAAGCCAACGUGGCUUUUAUAAUGGACAGUCUUGUCUUCCAAAAUUUACUAUAAUUCUCUGAAGACAUCCAUGUGUUAAUGGUGUUAAUUCAGUUGGCGUAACUUACCUGGAUUUCCAAAGGUCUUCUAAAAAUCCUUCAUAAAAAGUUUAUAAGAAAGCUGAGCAGUGAUGGGAUAAAGGGAAAGGCCCCC
rnacentral:lncRNA from 1 species